AUGUCGCGGACGGAUGCGGGGAGGGCGGGGAGCUCGCGCCGGGGCGGGUGUCUGCGGCGUCCCCCGACAUGGGAGGUCUCGGACUCGGACGCCGAGGGCCCCGCGGGCGCGGAGGAGGGUGCGAGGGUGCCCGGCCCGGCGGAGGAGCGCAGGGCGGCGGCCAAGGCGCUGCGGCCCGAGCAGGCCCUGCGGCGCGUGGCGGUGCGCGUGGACCCAGCCGUUCUGGAAGAUGCUGGUGCUGGCAUCCUGCUGGAGGCCCUGAGCACUCUGGGCUGUGAGUACCAAGUGGAAACCCAGCGCCUGGCCCGGAGCCUCAGGUGGACCAGGGCAAAGCCGGAUUCUUGCCCCCGCACCGUGCCUUCUGAGGUGUGGGACGCAGGUGAACAGGAUUUCCUGCUGCUCCUGGAGCCGGAGGAGUUUCUGCGGGGCGUCAACCAGCUGACCCAGACCUGUGGCCCACCCUGCUCGGUACCGUGGAUCUCUCCUGAGGGCUCCGCCAGCCCCCACGUAGCCGUCAUUGGGCUGGAUGCCUACUUGUGGUCUCACCAGCCCAGCAACAUCCACGAGACGAGGCAGCCGGAGACUGCAGCAGUGGCCCGUACGGCAGUGGCACUCAGCUGGCCCAGGGUGGAGGAGGCCCUGGUGCUCCUGCAGCUCUGGGCACACCUGGAUGUGCUGCUGGUGGCCUCCUGGCAGGAGCUGAGUCGGCACGUGUGCGCGUUCACCAAGGCCUUCGCGCAGCGCCCCCUCAAGCAGUACCGGGAGUCCCGUGCCUUUUCCUUCUGUGUGGCUGGACGCUGGGCAGGGGGUGAGCGAGUGGCAAGAGAUGGCACAGGGCUUCGGGGGGUCUGGUGGCGGCAGAUCAGGCAGUUCAACCGGGUCAGCCCGGCCGUGGCCGAUGCUGUUGUCACCGCCUUCCCCUCCCCCCGCCUUCUGCAGCAGGCCUACAGGACCUGCAACACAGAGCAGGAGCGCACGGCCCUCCUGGCUGACCUCCCCGUGAAGACGGGCGAUGGUGCGCGGCCCCGCAGGGUGGGCCCUGACCUUGCCCGCCGCAUCUGCCUCUUCUUGACCACGACCAGUCCUGAGCUCCUGCUGGACCUGGGCUCCUGACCACGUCCGCAGGACCAGAAGGGGGUACGCCGCCCGCCCUGCCUGGCGGGUUAACUGGAAACUACCACAGGCCGAGGGAAGGGAACAGCACUGCAUGUGGGGGAUGGGAGGGUGGAGUGCUCAGUCAGGUCUGGCCCCCUGGCCCCGAGGGGGUGGUGCCAGGAGGAGCAGGAGAUGACGCUCUUGCCAGGAGCUGCCACGCUGGCUGGAGAGGGUGGCGGUGAGGUUCCCCUGCCCUGGGUCCGGUCCACGGCGGCUACGGGCCUGGUGCUCCAGCGGAAUGGUCAGGAAGGGGAAGAAGCGGUAAGAUGGGGUCUUGCGGGAGGAGACAGCCAGGCUGUCUCCUGGAAAGCACCGUAAUGCGGCUGGACCUGAUAAGGAAAGAGCCCCAGGCCUCGUCCCACCACCACCGCGAGGCGUUGCCCAAACGCCGAGUUUAUUAGGGUCAUUUCAGCCUGGGACGGGAGAAACAGCAGCUGACGACAUGCAAAAGGCAAGUUAAGAAAGAGCCCCGGCUGGCGGCAGCCGCGGUGCCGCCUCUGACGUGUGUCCUCCGCAGCCCACAACAGCCGCCCGGGCCCGCGGUCAGUCCCAAAGAGCCAGGACGGCCGCCCCCACACCCAACGCAGGAAGCAGGUGCCCUUGGACGGUUCUGCUUUCAGGAGCGCGGGGCCUGUCCCAGCCUCGGGUGGCAGAGGGACAGACCUCAGCUCCGUCCCGUCUGCUGCCCUGGAGCGUGGCCCAAAAGGGAGGGACGGAGAACGCGCCACCUCGGCCCGGAAAAGCAGUUUUCGUUGGAAAACAAGUUAGGUCCGUCGGCAGCGCUUCCUCUGGCAGCGCCGGGUCUCAGGGCCGCCGGGAUCGGCCAUGGCCUUGGGCGAGGGCGCGGGGGGCUUGUGGCGGCCACAGCUCAUGCUCAGGACCCAGCCCAGCUUGUGGCGCAGCACCUGCUUCAGGCCGGGCGGCAGGGGCAGACCCUCCAGCGUGUCCCCGGAGUCGGGCCGCAGCUGGCGCAGGCGGUAGCAGCACAGGAACUGCAGGGACGUGACGCUGGCACACGAGCGGAUCACCUUCAUGCUGCUCUUGGCCGCGGUGGAGCACACCAUCGGGUAGAACUUCUUGUUCUGCAGCUUGGUGGCCGCCACGCCUGCGGGAGCAGGGAGCAUAGCCUGAGCUCUGGCCCCCUGUGGGGGCUGCGUGUCCCCCGACGGCAUCCGAGGACACGGACAUCCCUGACGACUCUCUCGCCGGGGAUCCCGGCGCCUCAGGCUUCUGUGAGGACAGCCCCUUGGGGAGCCUGGGGUGCUUGGCCUGGGGCUCCAGCUGCCGGCCCCGGGGGCCCGGGCCCAGCCGCCCUCACCUAUGCACUUCCUGUUCUUGAAGAAGGUCAGCGUGCCAUGCCAGGUGUCCAGGUGCACACCAAUGAUGGAGCCCUGGCCGAAUCUCGACGAGAAGCUCAUCUUGUCGCCCUUGUGGUGGAGGAGCCCUGGGGGGGGGGGGGGGGGGGGGAGGGGGCGGCGGAAGGGUGAGCCAUGCCGCCCCGGCCUCCCGCCCGCCCCACUGGCCGCAGUGCCCCACGCACCCGUAUAGGAGAGGCCCCAGCUGUCCUCGUCCCUGCCGAGCAGGCUGCAGAAUGUGUGGUGAUACUUGUCCAGAUCCACGUCUGAUGUCCCGAUGCCCACCAUCUGGGGAGAGCGGGGCGGGCACAGGGGGUCAAGGGCCUACCAAGGCCCGCCAGCUGGGGAGGUGGGGGGCGGGCCUGGGCCCUGGAGGCACUCCUGCCCCCCGCCCCCCGGCUGCUUACCAUGUCGGUGCCAUAGACGGGAGAGGUCAUCUUGAUCUCCCAGAAAUGCUGGCCCUCCCCCAGCUCCUUGGUGCCCCGGAUGGCCGCCGUGCCGCAGCUGUACUCCGUGUGGAAGUUGACCUUGCGGUUGUCACAGCUCAGCAGGGUGGCCGAAGACUUAUUCAGGUCAUCCCACACCCAGUCAAAAUCUGCGAAGGUGGAGGCCAGAGGCCAGGGCUGGAGGGCAGGCUGGCCCCGGGCUCCUCCCCGCCCCUCCCCCCAGGGGCCCCCAGGCACUCACACUCAUCUUCCUCGCCGCAGCGACAGUCCUUGCCCCGGUGUGCCGCGUGCAGGCUGUUGCAGAAGGAGGCCUCACUCGGACUGUCACAGUCACAGAAGGACUCCCCGGUCACGGGCACGGCGCUAGGGAUGGGUGGCGGCAGGGCUGAGGACUCGGGGUCCGAGUCAGAGUCACUGUGCUGGGAGGGAAAGACUGGUUGCUCGGGUGUGGGGCACCGCCGCCCACCGUCCCUAGGCCGGCAGGUCAGCAGCUCUAAUGGCCCAGGAAGGGACCCGGGGAUUUGGCCCCGGAGGGCUUCCCGGGUCUCCCAUGCACGCACUGCCCACCCUUGCCAGUGCCACCCACGGUGACCUUGGACAGCUCCGGCCUCCUGGCAGUGGCUUCAAGGGCUCCACCCCGUCUCCGCACAGCCAGGGGCACUGGGCUUCCAGCUGAUGUUGAGCCACCGGGGGCCGCCCGCCCGCCCGCUCCACCGCUCCUCGUUCUCUACGCAGCUUCCAGGCUGAGGAUACGCCGCAGCCCCACCCGAGGGCAGCCGGAAGCCAGGGAGCCCCAGGGCGAGGGCUGUGCCCUCGGGCGACAGCCGGACUCCAGCAGUUGGGGCCACGGGGUUGUCACCCAGAAGCCGUGUGGCAGAGACCAAGCGAAGAGAAUGGGAAGUUUCAGUUACAGACCGAUGCCACAGGGAUACAGGAAGGAGACCCCAAGCACCCCACUACCAUGGAAUGCUGACCCCCAAAAGCCAAGGCAGACUGGCUCUACUGGCCAGGGGCGGACCCUAGCCGCCUUCCCAUUCAGUCAGCAGCCAGGGUCACAGACGAGAGCAGAACAAGGGAGAGGCAUGUUCGUCCUUCAGAGGUUCUCGGGGUGACGGGCCCACCCACACAAUCCAGUACUCCAGGUCCAGCAGGUGACAGAUGAGCAGCAAAUGCGUGUCAGAUGCUGUGACCCGGCCCCUGAGCGCCUCCCGCAUCUCCCAGUGAUGAGCUGGUAAAGGCAGGGACUGACAGAACAGACGGCUCUGGGUCACGUGGUCCAGGGCAGCCAGAGGCAGGACAGGAAUGCAGGCCUCUGGCCUCUUGCUGGCUGGGGCAGGGAGGCCCUAGGAAGGGGCUGCCGCCCCAACUCAGAACUGCAGCCUCCAGGUCUGGAGGUUCCGUGGGGCUCGGCCACACUCACUCUAGAAGAGAUGCAACCCCUUCCUCCCAGAACACCUGGCUGCGCAGGGGCAAAAGGGUGGGUGGCUGUGACGUGGCAGACGUGAGUCGCCCAAGGAUCAUCCCUGCAGGCAGCCAGAGGGGACUCGGGGCAGAACCAAACCCCUGCCCGGGUCGAGGAGACUCAGGAAGCCCUCCACGGUGCCCACCCAGCCAACAGGCACAACGGCCAAGCAGCCCUGCCGCCCCAUCCUGGCCCGGCUGCGUCAGGCACCCUGCACCCCAGUCAAGCCACUCUGUGGACGGCUCCUGGCUCCUGGCCUUCCCGGAGCUCUGGAGUUGCCAACGGAGGAAAGGUGCUGCAACUUUGGCCUCCAAGAAUCGGAAGUCUUCCUACACACACGUGUGCAUAUGCAUAAACGUCAAAUGCACAUCUGUCCAGGCAAGAGCACGCACGUUCGGUUAACGAUAGCUACCUUUGGGAAACGGUCAGGUGAGUGGAACAGAGAAGCUUUUGUUGAAUAAACUGACAGAAAAUGGAAAGCACAGAGAAGGAUACAGCAUCUGCCCUGGGUCCUGUCACCCCGGGACCGGUGGGUCCUCAACCGAGAUAAACUGCCUGGGUGAGCACAGCACCCAAGAGGCAGGAGGGCCCGUCCUCUGCCCUCGGGCGCAUCUUCAUCUUUCAGUCGGGGCUCAGGCAGUGCCCGUCCUGGGCGUCUCAACCCUUCGGUCCAGCCAUGUCCACCUCCCCCCCAGGACCUACCUGCCCAUCUGAGUCGUAGCCCCAGUUAGCGCUCCCCGCCAGAGCCACGGCCCGGGCAUCCACAUCUCGGCGAGCUGCACUCAGGACGAAAUGCCAAGCUGUGCUGCUGCGAGGACGCCUGGCCAUGGUGGACAGGAUCUGGAAGAAAACCCAGGUUCUGAGCCAAGAAGAUCUGUGGCACCAACUCCCACGCUCUGUCCUCAGCCAGCGGUGCCAGGCCCAUCUCAAGGUGGCCGCUCUUAGGAGCCACGUGUGUGCCCAGCCAGGGCUCUGGAACUCUUCCUGACCUCACACCUCCCUCCAGCGUGCAAGCACCUUGAUAAAAGCCAGACAGAGAGCAUAGAACACCAUCCAGACACCCAUGACUCCCGAGUGUGGAUUUCAGCCCCUCUCUGAGCUCAGCCUACUGAGCCCAGCUGUCCUGCCUGCGUGUCCCUCAGGCAUCUCAAACCUUGCCUGGCUCCUCCUCUGUUGCCCAGUUUGACAAAUGGCAUCUCCAACCGCCCAGUUCCUCAUGCCAGACCCACCGCAGUCAUCCUGAACACCCCUUUCCUUCCUUGGGCGGUAGCCUAACAGCGUCACAGCACCUCCAAGGCGUGGCCUGGACACCUCUCCAUCCCUGCGGUCGCCCGACUUCCCAACCACAGCUCACCUUCCUCCUGGCUCCUCCCACUCCACUCAUUACAACCAAGGUUGUGUUCGGAAACACAAAUCUUAAAAAUUAAACAACCCUUAAAAAGCCCUGAAACCCCUCCAGCCUUGCAUCAUUAACAGAGAAUGCAAAUUUCUGCAA